CCGUAGGUAGGGGGAUUUAAGAAGAGAGACUAGGGGAGCUGGGCUGCGCGCCUCCUCCUGGUGGAAAUUAACGAGGAAUGUGCCGGAAAAGACUGCCUGAAUACAAGCCCUGCAUCUUCAUAAGAAAACUAAAGACACUUCAAGGUUUCUGAUAAUCUCCACAACCACCCUCCAAAAAGGAAAUAAUGAAGUGUGGAAGUUUUCACAAUGCGAAGCUUCUCUUCCUCUCUUCU